rnacentral:rRNA from 1 species
UGGGGGAUAUUGCACAAUGGGCGAAAGCCUGAUGCAGCGACGCCGCGUGGGGGAUGAAGGCCUUCGGGUUGUAAACUUCUUUUGCUCUGAACAAGGCAUGCCUUUGGGGUGUGUUGAGUGUAGGGGUUGAUUAGCGCCGGCUAACUACGUGCCAGCAGCCGCGGUAAUACGUAGGGCGCGAGCGUUGUCCGGAAUUAUUGGGCGUAAAGGGCUUGUAGGUGGCUGGUUGCGUCUGUCGUGAAAGCUCAUGGCUUAACGGUGGGUUGGCGGUGGGUACGGGCUGGCUUGAGUGCAGUAGGGGAGGAUGGAAUUCCUGGUGUAGCGGUGGAAUGCGCAGAUAUCAGGAGGAAUACCGGUGGCGAAGGCGGGUCUCUGGGCUGUUACUGACGCUGAGGAGCGAAAGCGUGGGGAGCGAACAGG